rnacentral:rRNA from 1 species
GGCGGACGGGUGAGUAAUGUAUAGUUAAUCUGCCCUUUAGAGGGGGAUAACAGUUGGAAACGACUGCUAAUACCCCAUACUCCUUUUACAUUGAUUGUAAUUGGGAAACGUUUUUUCGCUAAAGGAUGAGACUAUAUGGUAUCAGGUAGUUGGUGGGGUAAGAGCCUACCAAGCCAAUGACGCCUAGCUGGUCUGAGAGGAUGAUCAGCCACACUGGAACUGAGACACGGUCCAG